rnacentral:rRNA from 1 species
UGGGGAAUAUUGCGCAAUGGGCGAAAGCCUGACGCAGCGACGCCGCGUGGGGGAUGAAGCUUCUCGGAGUGUAAACCCCUUUCGACCCGGACGAAUGACCCGCAAGGGUUUGACGGUACGGGUAUAAGAAGCCCCGGCUAACUACGUGCCAGCAGCCGCGGUAAUACGUAGGGGGCCAGCGUUGCUCGGAAUUACUGGGCGUAAAGGGUUCGUAGGUGGUGCGGUAAGUUGGAAGUGAAAUCUCUGGGCUUAACCCAGAGGCUGCUUUCAAAACUGUCGCGCUCGAGUGCGAGAGAGGUCAGUGGAAUUGCAGGUGUAGCGGUGAAAUGCGUAGAUAUCUGCAGGAACACCCGUGGCGAAGGCGGCUGACUGAAUCGCAACUGACACUGAGGAACGAAAGCUAGGGGAGCAAACAGGAUUAGAUACCCUGGUAGUCCUAGCCCUAAACCAUCGGAACUUGGGGUGGCCCGCGUAGGCGGGUCGUCCCGUAGCUAACGCGUUAAGUUCCGCGCCUGGGGAGUACGGUCGCAAGGCUG